UACGUAGGGUGCAAGCGUUGUCCGGAAUUACUGGGCGUAAAGGGCGCGUAGGCGGAUUAGUAAGUUGGGAGUGAAAGCCCGGGGCUUAACCUCGGAACUGCUUUCAAAACUGCUAGUCUUGAGUGAAGUAGGGGAUGAUGGAAUUCCUAGUGUAGAGGUGAAAUUCUUAGAUAUUAGGAGGAACACCGGUGGCGAAGGCGGUCAUCUGGACUUCAACUGACGCUGAGGCGCGAAAGCGUGGGGAGCAAACAGG
rnacentral:rRNA from 1 species